rnacentral:rRNA from 1 species
GACAUCUGACCUCAAAUCAGGUAGGACUACCCGCUGAACUUAAGCAUAUCAA